GAAGCAUGAGACUUUAUUUAAAUAUGUGCCACAUUACAUAUUUACUCAUAGAAAUAAGAGGGCCACUGGUGCUUGGAGCGACCAAUUAAAGAAACACUAUAGUAUUCCGAAUGGAAACCUUGAUUACUAAGACUAUGCUGACCCGGUCCCCAGUUAUAUACAACGAAUGCUCUCCCAACCCCACAUAUGCAAAUGCCUCCUUCUGCAACAUCACAGAGGCAGCACCGUCUCAUCCAUGAACGUCCGAUCCAAUGCUCUUCAUGUAGGAGAAUUGGGGACCUAAUGCUGCCUGCAAUCAAGUUUCGCAAUGUGGAAAGGACUGAGCUCUAUAACUUCGACAGAGAACUAUGGAGGCACUGAGCUGGAGGAUAAAGAGAUUUGAGUCCUUCAAUUUUAAUUUUCACACCUCACAAAUACCUAUUUGUUACAUAUAAGGGGUAGGUUAACAUUAAAAUAUUG